AUAAAGUUUUAUUUUGGCUUAAAAAUUUAUUAUUAAUUUAAUUUAUAUGUAAAUUUUAGUAUGAAUUUUUAUUUAUUUAAAUAAUAAAUAAAUUUAAUUAUUCGCAGUAAUUAGUAUUAUUAAUUAAAGAAAUUUAGAAAUAGUAAUAUUAAAGAGUAUUGGUUAAAUUUGUGCCAGCAGCCGCGGUUACACUAAUGAUACAAGUAAAUUUUUAUUAGUUGAAGUUAAAUUAAAAAUAUAAAAAUUAAAUAUAAAUUUAUUAGGUGAAAUUUUAAAUUUAUUAAAGUUUAAUAUAAAUAAUUGAAGCUUGAAAAUUUUAAAAAUAAACUAGGAUUAGAUACCCUAUUAUUUAAAAUGUAAAUAAAUAAACUAAGGUAGUAAUAGUUAUGUUCUUGAAACUUAAAAAAUUUGGCGGUAUUUUAGUCUAUUCAGAGGAACCUGUUCUAUAAUCGAUAAUCCACGAUGGACCUUACUUAAAUUUGUAAUCAGUUUAUAUACCGUCGUUAUUAGAAUAUUUUAUAAGAAAGAUAAUAUUCAUAAUUUUUAAUAAGAAUGUAUAUCAGAUCAAGGUGUAGCUUAUAUUUAAGUAGAAAUGGGUUACAAUAAAAAUAUUUAAAUGAAUAUAAAUUUGAAAUGUUUAUUGAAGGUGGAUUUGAUAGUAAAAUUAUAAAGAUUAAUAAUUUGAUUUUAGCUCUAAAAUAUGUACACAUCGCCCGUCACUCUUAUUAUUAAGGUAAGAUAAGUCGUAACAUAGUAGAUGUACUGGAAAGUGUACCUAGAAUGCA
rnacentral:ncRNA from 1 species